rnacentral:rRNA from 1 species
GACGAACGCUGGCGGCGUGCUUAACACAUGCAAGUCGAACGGACAGGCCCUGCUUUUGUGGGUUGCUCGAUUGGCGCACGGGUGUGUAACACGUGAGUAACCUGCCCUUGACUUUGGGAUAACUUUUGGAAACUGCGGCUCAUACCGGAUAGGAGCUCCUGCUGCAUAGUGGGGGUUGGAAAAAUUCGGCGGUUGGGGCUGGACUCGCGGCUUAUCAGCUUGUUGGGGGGGUAGGGGCUUACCAGGGCUUAGAGGGGUAGCCGGCCUGAGAGGGUGACCGGGCACAAGGGGACUGAGAGACGGCGCAGACUCGUACGGGAGGCAGCAGGGGAGAGUAUUGCACAAUGGGCGGAAGCCUGAUGUAGCAACGCCGCGUGCGUGAUGACGGCCUACGGGGUGUAAACCGCUUUCGCCGGAAACGAAGCGUGAGUGACGGUAAUGGGUAAAGAAGCAACGGCUAACUACGUG